rnacentral:lncRNA from 1 species
AGGGCCUCAGCAAACAGAUGCAGACUCUGUUAAUUAAACAAGCCGGAGCAAUCACCCAGGCUCCUGGACAACUCAAACCAGGAUCCUCUCACUAGAUACAAAACUUCAAGCCUCAGCUGCCUCGUCUGAAGAAAGGGGAUAAUUAUAGUACCUGCCUCACAGUGUGGUUGUGAAGACCCAACGAAUGGACAGAUGCAAAGUACUUAGAACAGCGCCUGGCCCUUGGUAAGCUGCUUCACCUCUCUGAACUCCAGUCAGCUUUCCUACAGAAUGGAGUGUCAUAACAUCCACAUCCUCUGGUGCGUUGUGAGGCUUCAGGGACACCUGCGUUUAGUACCGUGACUGGUACUCGGC